rnacentral:sRNA from 1 species
AGUUUCCGGUGUCUCUGCAAUGGCGGCUCUAGACUCCCUGUCGCUCUUCACUAGCCUCGGCCUGAGCGAGCAGAAGGCCCGUGAGACGCUCAAGAACUCGGCUCUGAGCGCGCAGCUGCGCGAGGCCGCUACUCAGGCUCAGCAGACCCUGGGUUCCACCAUUGACAAAGCUACCGGGAUCCUGUUAUAUGGCUUGGCCUCCCGACUCAGGGAUACCCGGCGUCUCUCCUUCCUUGUAAGCUACAUAGCCAGUAAGAAGAUCCACACUGAGCCCCAGCUAAGCGCUGCCCUUGAGUAUGUGCGGAGUCACCCCUUGGACCCCAUCGACACUGUGGACUUCGAGCGGGAAUGUGGCGUGGGUGUCAUUGUGACCCCAGAGCAGAUUGAGGAGGCUGUGGAGGCUGCUAUUAACAGGCACCGGCCCCAGCUCCUGGUGGAACGUUACCAUUUCAACAUGGGGCUGCUGAUGGGAGAGGCUCGGGCUGUGCUGAAGUGGGCAGAUGGCAAAAUGAUCAAGAAUGAAGUGGACAUGCAGGUCCUCCACCUUCUGGGCCCCAAGAUGGAGGCUGAUCUGGAGAAGAAGUUCAAGGUGGCAAAAGCUCGGCUAGAAGAAACAGACCGGAGGACGGCAAAGGAUGUGAUGGAGAAUGGCGAGACUGCUGACCAGACCCUGUCUCUGAUUGAGCAGCUCCGGGGGGAGGCCCUUAAGUUCCACAAGCCUGGUACGUACCCGGUUCCCGCCAGAACCCAAUGGAAUCCUGCAUAUUGGACAUGCCAAAGCCAUCAAUUUCAACUUCGGCUAUGCCAAGGCCAACAAUGGCAUCUGUUUUCUGCGUUUUGAUGACACCAACCCUGAGAAGGAGGAAGCAAAGUUCU